GGGCGGAGCUCCAGGAGGUGGGCUGAGGGGGCCGGGCUCGGGUCUGGACAAAAGCCGGGAAGAGGAAAAGCCCUGCCUGGCUGGCCAGAUUCUGGGUUUCUGCCGAGGCCCCUUGAGAAGCCGGAACAGUUGGGCUCCAGCCGGGAUUGCCAAAGUGGACACUGAGUGACUGUGUGCUCCCGGGUCAUCGCCAACGUACCUUCCCCGCAGGAGAUAAGCUGAGUCUGCAAGAUUGAGAGGAGUUGGGGGUGAUUAGAAAUUGUUAAGAGGUUUAUUGAAGUCAAAAUGUCUCAAAAAAUCCAAGGCGGGUCUGUGGUAGAGAUGCAAGGAGAUGAAAUGACACGAAUCAUUUGGGAGUUGAUUAAAGAGAAACUCAUUUUUCCCUACGUGGAACUGGACCUGCACAGCUACGAUUUAGGCAUAGAGAACCGCGAUGCCACCAAUGACCAGGUCACCAAGGACGCUGCAGAAGCUAUAAAGAAGUACAAUGUUGGUGUCAAGUGUGCUACCAUCACCCCCGAUGAGAAGAGAGUGGAGGAGUUCAAGUUGAAACAAAUGUGGAAAUCUCCAAAUGGCACCAUCCGAAAUAUCCUGGGUGGCACUGUCUUCAGGGAAGCUAUCAUCUGCAAAAAUAUACCCCAGCUUGUGAGCGGAUGGGUAAAACCCAUUAUCAUAGGUCGCCAUGCUUAUGGGGAUCAAUAUAGAGCAACUGAUUUUGUUGUGCCGGGGCCCGGAAAAGUAGAGAUAUCCUACACACCAAGCGAUGGAUCCCCCAAAACAGUAUACCUAGUACAUAACUUCACAGAGAGUGGUGGUGUUGCCAUGGGGAUGUACAAUCAAGAUAAGUCGAUCGAAGAUUUUGCACACAGUUCUUUCCAGAUGGCUUUGUCUAAGAAUUGGCCUUUGUAUCUGAGCACCAAAAACACUAUUCUGAAGAAGUACGAUGGACGUUUUAAAGACAUCUUUCAGGAGAUAUAUGACAAGCAGUACAGUUGAAGCUCAGAAUAUCUGGUAUGAGCACAGGCUCAUUGAUGACAUGGUGGCCCAAGCUAUGAAAUCAGAGGGGGGCUUCAUUUGGGCCUGUAAGAACUAUGAUGGGGACGUGCAGUCGGACUCCGUGGCCCAAGGUUACGGCUCUCUCGGCAUGAUGACCAGUGUGCUGGUUUGUCCAGAUGGCAAGACAGUAGAAGCAGAGGCUGCCCACGGGACCGUAACCCGUCACUACCGAAUGUACCAGAAAGGACAGGAGACAUCCACCAAUCCCAUUGCUUCCAUUUUUGCCUGGACCAGAGGCUUAGCCCACAGAGCUAAGCUUGAUAACAAUAAAGAGCUCGGCUUUUUUGCAAAGGCUUUGGAAGAAGUCUGUAUUGAGACCAUUGAGGCUGGCUUCAUGACCAAGGACUUAGCUGCAUGUAUUAAAGGUUUACCCAACGUGCAACGUUCUGACUACUUGAAUACAUUCGAGUUCAUGGAUAAACUUGGAGAGAACCUGCAGUUAAAACUAGCCCAGGCCAAACUUUAAGGUCAUUUCUUGUCUUCGGAGGAUGUUUUUUUUUCUGGUAACUAGGGUAUACUGGUUUACAUUUUU